CACACAACAUGGCCCGUCGAGAACUACCUUUACUAUCAAACUUAAAGGUCGCCUUUUGUAUUAGAGUUAGCCGUGUCUCCGUCUCGCGUCUCCAGUGUUUCCCCAUCGAUUGCUCUUUCGACUUCUUCAUCCGGUGUGAGAUGAAGCAGUAACGAUUCACCCUCAUAUAAAGCUCUCCUUAAUCAAUCAUACACGAUCUCCAUAUUCAAUGUGAUCCUGGAGAGUGAAAGGCGGUGGAGGCUCUACUAUAAAAAGACUGGCCGUUCUUCCUCCUCCGUUCAAGUUCGCCUGCUCCGAUUUUGGGAGGCCAGUAACGUCUGGCGUGGUGGAGAGCUUAUGGGAGUCGACAUGCUCCUUCUUGCUUCUCAGUAUGUGUACAGGCUGGCAUGUUAGCUCUUCUUCGCGAUGCCAGAGGUGCAAACUUCACCAGCUUAUAAAGGAUCGUAUCAACAAUAGUUUCAUGGCUUAUUGAAUAAGUUAGUACAUUCUUUUUCGACCAUUUUUUCCUCAUAACAUGCCUUUAUUAAGUUUGUAGUUCCCAUCACUCCUUACUCUUCAUAUUUCUAUUACACUAGCAGCAACUGUUUAUUGAAGAAUUUCAGUGGAAACAUCAAAUGGGAGUCCACAACAUCUUAAUAAACCUCAUGGUUGAGGAACCUGUUUAGAUGGCACCACAAGGAGAAAGGAAAAGUAGAGGCUGACAUGGACAGAGAGAAAUCGACAAGGAAGAUUUUGAGACAAAGCUGAACAUAACAAACACUACGCUCAACGUCACACAAGAAGUUGUAUUCUUUUGAAGUAGACCUUGAAAAGGCAACAUUUAUGGUGCAGAUCACUUCAGCUUCAGUUAGAAAGGGAGGGGAUGUUGUAAUGGCUUCUGCAAAAUUAUCAAUGUCGAAAGCAGAUACCGACUUACAGAAGCAACUAGAAGCGUACAAGCAACACAGUGAAAUUUCCAGGUGUUCUCUCCAUGAAAGUAUAGAACAUUUGCGUCAAAAGGUUCGCCCUACAAAGCAAGGAUAACAAUCUUAGAGUUAUUCAUGAUGGUGGUAGAAAAUAUGCAUUGAUUGUGUGCGAACAAGUGAAAUCCAAAUCUGAGAAGAUGGAGAUUUUUCCAAAAUAGAAACAAAGAUAAUGCUUCUGAAGAAGCUGCCUGCUGCUGUUCAAUAUAAAAAAAAGAGUGAGCAUCAAGAAUGUUUACUAUGUAAUGAAUACAAACAAAGAUAUGAAUGUUUGUUUAAGAACCUUUGUUUGUGUGUCUAUAGCAAGAUUGGGAAAAAAAACGUGAUCCUUA